rnacentral:rRNA from 1 species
CAUGCAAGUCGAACGAAGCAAUUAAGAUGAAGUUUUCGGAUGGAAUCUUGAUUGACUGAGCUGGCGGACGGGUGAGUAACGCGUGGAUAACCUGCCUCACACUGGGGGAUAACAGUUAGAAAUGACUGCUAAUACCGCAUAAGCGCACAGUGCCGCAUGGCAGUGUGUGAAAAACUCCGGUGGUGUGAGAUGGAUCCGCGUCUGAUUAGCCAGUUGGCGGGGUAACGGCCCACCAAAGCGACGAUCAGUAGCCGACCUGAGAGGGUGACCGGCCACAUUGGGACUGAGACACGGCCCAAACUCCUACGGGAGGCAGCAGUGGGGAAUAUUGCACAAUGGGCGAAAGCCUGAUGCAGCGACGCCGCGUGAGUGAAGAAGUAUUUCGGUAUGUAAAGCUCUAUCAGCAGGGAAGAAAAUGACGGUACCUGACUAAGAAGCCCCGGCUAACUACGUGCCAGCAGCCGCGGUAAUACGUAGGGGGCAAGCGUUAUCCGGAUUUACUGGGUGUAAAGGGAGCGUAGACGGCGAAGCAAGUCUGAAGUGAAAACCCAGGGCUCAACCCUGGGACUGCUUUGGAAACUGUUUUGCUAGAGUGUCGGAGAGGUAAGUGGAAUUCCUAGUGUAGCGGUGAAAUGCGUAGAUAUUAGGAGGAACACCAGUGGCGAAGGCGGCUUACUGGACGAUAACUGACGUUGAGGCUCGAAAGCGUGGGGAGCAAACAGGAUUAGAUACCCUGGUAGUCCACGCCGUAAACGAUGAAUGCUAGGUGUUGGGGGGCAAAGCCCUUCGGUGCCGCCGCAAACGCAGUAAGCAUUCCACCUGGGGAGUACGUUCGCAAGAAUGAAACUCAAAGGAAUUGACGGGGGACCCGCACAAGCGGUUGGAGCAUGUGGUUUAAUUCGAAGCAACGCGAAGAACCUUACCAAGUCUUUGACAUCCCCCUGACGGGCCGGUAACGCGGCCUUUCCUUCGGGACAGGGGAGACAGGUGGUGCAUGGUUGUCGUCAGCUCGUGUCGUGAGAUGUUGGGUUAAGUCCCGCAACGAGCGCAACCCUUAUCCUUAGUAGCCAGCACGUGAAGGUGGGCACUCUAGGGAGACUGCCAGGGAUAACCUGGAGGAAGGUGGGGAUGACGUCAAAUCAUCAUGCCCCUUAUGAUUUGGGCUACACACGUGCUACAAUGGCGUAAACAAAGGGAAGCGAGACAGUGAUGUGGAGCAAAUCCCAAAAAUAACGUCCCAGUUCGGACUGUAGUCUGCAACCCGACUACACGAAGCUGGAAUCGCUAGUAAUCGCGAAUCAGAAUGUCGCGGUGAAUACGUUCCCGGGUCUUGUACACACCGCCCGUCACACCAUGGGAGUCAGCAACGCCCGAAGUCAGUGACCCAACCGAAAGGAGGAGCUGCC